rnacentral:tRNA from 1 species
GGCGGCGUAGCUCAGCUGGCUAGAGCAUUCGGUUCAUACCCGGAGGGUCAGGGGUUCAAGUCCCUUCGCCGCUA